UUGUGAUAUGGCAAUUCGCAGGAACGCCAAACGGGAGGGGUAAAUAAGAGACUUGGAAAUUGUCUCUAACGUUACAUCGUUUUGCGCAUCUGCCAUGGACGGACAUUCUCUAAUGCAGUCGCUCUCUCAGCAUCAUCAAAAAGCUGAAAAUAUAAUGUCUCACACUAACGGUCUAAAAGAGGAGGAUUCACUGAAGCAUGUAAGCAAGGACUCUAACGGGGUUGUCUCCUCGCCAGGAUCAACGGGAUGUGACGAUCAGGACGGGGAUAAGCCACUGUCGAAACAAAAGCGCCACCGUACCCGCUUCACACCAGCGCAGUUGAAUGAGCUUGAACGAGCGUUUGCAAAGACGCAUUACCCAGAUAUCUUCAUGCGUGAAGAAUUGGCGCUCAGGAUCGGACUCACAGAGUCAAGGGUUCAGGUUUGGUUCCAAAACAGGCGAGCCAAAUGGAAGAAAAGGAAGAAGACUACUAAUGUAUUCCGCACACCAGGGGCACUCCUACCGUCACACGGAUUGUCACCAUUUGGCUCUAUGGGCUCCAUGGGAUCAAUGAAUGACUCGUUUUCAUUCCCCGAUACACGCUGGACAGGUAUGGGUAUGUCCCAGAUGUCGCAAAUGGGCGGUAACUCACUUACGUUGCCCCCAUCAUUACCCCGACAAGGUAUUGCGCAAUCUUUGCCAACAAGUGUAGGAGGCCUUGGACCUUCAUCUGGAACAAUGCAUGCAGCGUCUUUAUCAAAUACAAUGAUAGGCAAUGGUUCAUCUAUGUAUGGGUCAAAUCCCUAUGGCGUGCCAUCGUCUUGCGAAUCACCCCUAUCUACGUCACCCGUGACAUCAAUGCCCUCACAGAUGGCGUGUGGAAUGCAAGAGAUGGGCGAUGCGUGGCGAGGAACGAGUAUUGCAUCACUUCGCAGAAAAGCUCUCGAACAUUCAAUGACAUCUGGGUUUCGAUAAAAAAUGAUCAACACGGAAGACAGUGUUUUACACCCUUAACGUAAAAUGAAACUGUAUACAGAGUUACAGAAACAUUGGACAAUAAUUUAUGUUUAAUUUCCUGAACUGAGAUAGUAGUAAUGUAGGUGUUAAUAUCGCUAAUAGAAUAGGAACAGGCUGUUUCUUGCCAUCACUGAAAGUUCUCAUAUAUAACCUAGCUCAUUUUAUCUUUCCACACUACUAUGGUUUAACGGUUUAAGGCGAUAUGAUUUUUUGUCUUGCUUUGACAAUUGAUUCACAAAUAAUUUAUCAUUCCUUUGAAUAUUUUUGUAUGAUACAUUUUUUGUUGAAUUCCUAAGUUAAUUGCAUGACUGAUUGUACUAAUAUGUCGUUUAGUAUAUUUCACGUCAUAAGAAAACAUAAAUAUAAAGUACAAAGAGAUAAAUUAUAUUUUUCAUCUAGAAUAAGAAAUCAAGAGUGCACGAUAGCUUAAUGGUAUGAUAGACGGUACCAUUUUGGCUUCAUAUUUGACCUACCAUGUACACUUUCAUUUAUUGUACUAUUGUAUUAUAAUAUUGUAUAUAUUCCACUACUUACAACGAGUCUACUAGUCAUUAAGUCAAGCUAGAGAAAUUAAACUCUAUAUUCAGUAUAUAUACUUUGUUUUUCUCUAGAAUUAUGAGGUUAUAUCUUUAAUGGCUUAUUUUUUAAAGAACAAAACACAUAUAUCUGUACAACAAUAAUAUGUGGUUGGAUUGUCAUUAAAAUGUCCAUACACUGGAUCUGAUGUUGUAUGAAAUAAAUGCCAGAUAUUAAUGCGAUCAUGCAAACUGUACUGUAUAUAGUCAUAAACUAUUUUAGGUUUGUACAAAUGAAUAUUGUUUAGUGCAUCAAGAACUAGUUUAUUUAAAUAGAGACAGUAUACAUCAGAAAAUUAAAUUAUUUACAGCAUGAUUUACUCAUUACUUUAUAUGUAAAAGACUUAGCCAUCGCACUAGUGCGAUCGAUGCAUUUGAAUUUAGGAAUGUGAUGUCGUAUACACACACAAUGCACGGUAUAAUGCAUUGCUAAAAUCUUUUUUUUAUUACUUUUUUAUUCAUAGAAAACAUUUGAAAGCAGUUACAUUAACAUAUACAAUAUUGCUAAAAUCCAUGUCUUAUGUAACAGGUCGAUCCAAACAUUUUAUUUUCUUCAAAGAUAUUAAAACUUCAAAUAUAUGUUAGUGUACUUUUUUCUAAGCAAAAAGCCCGUAAAGGGUCCAUAUUAAACAAAAGUGGGCGUGGCAGUUCCUCAUUGGCGGCAAA
rnacentral:misc_RNA from 1 species